CGCCUGGGGAGUGCGGCCGCAAGGUUAAAACUCAAAUGAAUUGACGGGGGCCCGCACAAGCGGUGGAGCAUGUGGUUUAAUUCGACGCAACGCGAAGAACCUUACCUGGCCUUGACAUCCAGAGAACUUUCCAGAGAUGGAUUGGUGCCUUCGGGAACUCUGAGACAGGUGCUGCAUGGCCGUCGUCAGCUCGUGUCGUGAGAUGUUGGGUUAAGUCCCGUAACGAGCGCAACCCCUAUCCCUGGUUGCUAGCAGGUAAUGCUGAGAACUCCAGGGAGACUGCCGGUGACAAACCGGAGGAAGGUGGGGAUGACGUCAGGUCAUCAUGGCCCUUACGGCCAGGGCUACACACGUGCUACAAUGGCGCGUACAGAGGGCUGCCAACUCGCGAGAGUGAGCCAAUCCCUUAAAACGCGUCGUAGUCCGGAUCGGAGUCUGCAACUCGACUCUGUGAAGUCGGAAUCGCUAGUAAUCGCGAAUCAGAAUGUCGCGGUGAAUACGUUCCCGGGCCUUGUACACACCGCCCGUCACACCAUGGGAGUGGAUUGCACCAGAAGUAGUUAGUCUAACCUUCGGGAGGACGAUUACCACGGUGUGGUUCAUGACUGGGGUGAAGUCGUAACAAGGUAACCGUA
rnacentral:rRNA from 1 species